UCUUGUGUUUGUGUGCAGUGUGAACGGGACGGAGGCUGACUAUGCGUACGAGGAGAUCACGUUGGAGAGGGGGAACUCGGGGCUGGGCUUAAGCAUCGCAGGAGGGACAGAUAACCCCCACAUCGGUGAAGAACCCAGCAUCUUCAUCACCAAAGUCAAUCCCUGGAGGAGCAGCUGCACAGGACGGACGGCUCAGGGUGAACGAUGUGAUCCUGAGAGUGAACGAGGUGGACGUCCGGACGUGACCCACAGCCGGGCCGUGGAGGCGCUGAGGAGCGGGCUCUCUGGUCCGGCUCUACAUCCGCAGGAGGAAACCGGUGUCGGAGAAAGUGAUGGAGAUCAAACUGGAAAGGACCC